rnacentral:rRNA from 1 species
UGGUAAUACCGGAUGCUCCGCUCCAUCGCAUGGUGGGGUGGGAAAUGCUUUUGCGGCAUGGGAUGGGGUCGCGUCCUAUCAGCUUGUUGGCGGGGUGAUGGCCCACCAAGGCGUUGACGGGUAGCCGGCCUGAGAGGGUGACCGGCCACAUUGGGACUGAGAUACGGCCCAGACUCCUACGGGAGGCAGCAGUGGGGAAUAUUGCACAAUGGGCGCAAGCCUGAUGCAGCGACGCCGCGUGCGGGAUGGAGGCCUUCGGGUUGUAAACCGCUUUUGUUCAAGGGCAAGGCACGGUUUCGGCCGUGUUGAGUGGAUUGUUCGAAUAAGCACCGGCUAACUACGUGCCAGCAGCCGCGGUAAUACGUAGGGUGCGAGCGUUAUCCGGAUUUAUUGGGCGUAAAGGGCUCGUAGGCGGUUCGUCGCGUCCGGUGUGAAAGUCCAUCGCCUAACGGUGGAUCUGCGCCGGGUACGGGCGGGCUGGAGUGCGGUAGGGGAGACUGGAAUUCCCGGUGUAACGGUGGAAUGUGUAGAUAUCGAAAAAAAACACCA